UACGUAGGGUGCAAGCGUUAAUCGGAAUUACUGGGCGUAAAGCGUGCGCAGGCGGCUUUGCAAGACAGAUGUGAAAUCCCCGGGCUCAACCUGGGAACUGCAUUUGUGACUGCAUGGCUGGAGUGCGGCAGAGGGGGAUGGAAUUCCGCGUGUAGCAGUGAAAUGCGUAGAUAUGCGGAGGAACACCGAUGGCGAAGGCAAUCCCCUGGGCCUGCACUGACGCUCAUGCACGAAAGCGUGGGGAGCAAACAGGAUGAGAUAACCCCGUAGUCC
rnacentral:rRNA from 1 species